rnacentral:sRNA from 1 species
UCCAUUCAGCCGUCAGUUUUCAGUAUUCAGCGUUCAGAUACCACAAGUUUCACAAGUUAUAUGACAAGGAACACAAAUUUUAAUUUGCGCCCAUUCGUGAAAUUUGCAUUCAGAUAACCCUGCAUAAUCAUUGACAAUUAACAAUUUACCAUCAAUUUCGGCGUUCACCCAUGGGCCUCGGGCGGUGAGCCGACGGAGCAGCGAGCAGGGCGAAAGAAAAUCAGGCUGUCAGUUACCUGAUUUUCCGACCUGCGAGCGUAGCGAAGUCGUGUGAAGCGCACGAAGCCUUGACUUUUUGGUUACUUUUGGGUCAAGCCAAAAGUGACGGAAAGAGAUUAUAUCAGGCUUUCAGCCCUCAAAGCAAGGUAUGGGAAUCGAUACCCCACCCUCGCGGGAUGGGGCUGAAAUAUACCGGGCUUUCAGCCCUGCCGAACAAUGGUUAAUGGUCAAUUGUUAUUUGAAUGAUGAACGUAUUUUACCACUUUCAUUCUAUAAAAAACAUUAAUUUAUGCCGUUGUUGUGCAACAACGGGGUCAAAACAGCUGUUUAAGGGUCAUUGUUGUACAACAACGGGCAAAAACAGCUGUUUAAAUGCCGGAUACUCGGUUUCCGCCCUUUGCGACGGAGCGACCGGAGUCUCUCUGCGAAGGCGAUUGCCGG